CGCAAUAAAGCAAGACACACGAAUCUUUUGGUUUUUCAGUGCAUACAGAAGUUAUGUUUACACUAUACUGUAGUACAUCAAGUUUACA